AGCUGCUCAGGAGAGAGACUUCCACGCUCAGUGUGCCCCCGACUGCCACCCUCCAUGUUCACAGACAUCCUCGUCCUUCUCACUGCCACUUAGCUACCCACCCUUCCUCCUGACUCCUCUUCACUUUCCUUUUAUUUUUUCUGAGGCGGAGUCUCACUCUGUCAGACAGGCAGAAGUGCAGUGGUGUGAUCUUGGCUCACUGCAACCUCCACCUCCCAGGUUCAAGUGAUCCUCCUGCCUCAGCCUCCCGAGUAGCUGGGAUUACAGGUGCCCACCACCACGCCAGGCUAAUUUUGUAUUUUUAGUAGAGACCGUGUUUCGCCAUGUUGGCCAGGCUGGUCUCGAACUCCUGACCUCAAGUGAUCCGCCCACCUCAGCCUCCCAAAGUGCUGCGAUUACAGGUGUGAGCCACUGCGCCCAGCUCCUCUUUGCUUUUCUUUUUGGCCCUGCAAAGACUACAAUAAUCAGCCUGUGACUAUCUUCAUGGAGCUCAUCCAUCCAACCCUACUAACACGAAGACUCCUAUGAAAAACAAGUCAAGUGUUCCAGGAAGGAGAAGAUCCUUCCCUUGCUACUGGCAAGAUGUAUGCAUAUUCCGGAUCCCAGGUCUGUUGUCCCCUCAUGCCAUGUGGAAGUUUCCCAAGACUAUAGAGAAAUGUUUGGAUGUGCAGAUGCCACACACUAAUUCUUAGUUUCUACAGCUAUUAUGACUAAAGGGAUUUUUGUAUACUGUUUAA